GUUUUCGUAGUAUAUUUAUAAUACAUUACCUUUUCAUGGUAAAAAAGAUCUAUAAAAAUUCC
rnacentral:tRNA from 1 species